GAAUGCGCGCGCAGCUCUUGCCGCGCGUGCGCAUUCAGCCGGCGGGGCGUAACGGAGGCGGAGAGGAGGAGGAGAGCUCUCCGCCCAGCGCUGGAAAAAGGUAAGUUUUUACCCCUUUUCCCCUUCCAGAGCCGGGCGGGAGGGGGUCCCUGAGGGUGGGGGCACCCUCAGGGCACUAUAGUGCCAGGAAAACGAGUAUGUUUUCCUGGCACUAUAGUGGUCCUUUAA